rnacentral:rRNA from 1 species
UACGUAGGGUGCGAGCGUUAAUCGGAAUUACUGGGCGUAAAGGGUGCGCAGGUGGUUUUGUAAGUCAGAUGUGAAAUCCCCGGGCUUAACCUGGGAAUUGCGUUUGAAACUACAAGACUAGAGUGUGGCAGAGGGGGGUGGAAUUCCAUGUGUAGCAGUGAAAUGCGUAGAGAUAUGGAAGAACAUCGAUGGCGAAGGCAGCCCCUGGGUUAACACUGACACUCAGGCACGAAAGCGUGGGGAGCAAACAGGAUUAGAAACCCGUGUAGU